rnacentral:rRNA from 1 species
UACGUAGGUGGCAAGCGUUAUCCGGAAUUAUUGGGCGUAAAGAGCGCGCAGGUGGUUAAUUAAGUCUGAUGUGAAAGCCCACGGCUUAACCGUGGAGGGUCAUUGGAAACUGGUUAACUUGAGUGCAGAAGAGGGAAGUGGAAUUCCAUGUGUAGCGGUGAAAUGCGUAGAGAUUGGAAAGAACACCGAUGGCGAAGGCACUUUACUGGGCUAUUACUAACACUCAGAGACGAAAGCUAGGGUAGCAAAUGGG